rnacentral:rRNA from 1 species
GCUCAGAUUGAACGCUAGCGGGAUGCCUUACACAUGCAAGUCGAACGGCAGCACGGACUUCGGUCUGGUGGCGAGUGGCGAACGGGUGAGUAAUGUAUCGGAACGUGCCUAGUAGCGGGGGAUAACUACGCGAAAGCGUAGCUAAUACCGCAUACGCCCUACGGGGGAAAGCAGGGGAUCGCAAGACCUUGCACUAUUAGAGCGGCCGAUAUCGGAUUAGCUAGUUGGUGGGGUAACGGCUCACCAAGGCGACGAUCCGUAGCUGGUUUGAGAGGACGACCAGCCACACUGGGACUGAGACACGGCCCAGACUCCUACGGGAGGCAGCAGUGGGGAAUUUUGGACAAUGGGGGAAACCCUGAUCCAGCCAUCCCGCGUGUGCGAUGAAGGCCUUCGGGUUGUAAAGCACUUUUGGCAGGAAAGAAACGUCAUGGGUUAAUACCCCGUGAAACUGACGGUACCUGCAGAAUAAGCACCGGCUAACUACGUGCCAGCAGCCGCGGUAAUACGUAGGGUGCAAGCGUUAAUCGGAAUUACUGGGCGUAAAGCGUGCGCAGGCGGUUCGGAAAGAAAGAUGUGAAAUCCCAGAGCUUAACUUUGGAACUGCAUUUUUAACUACCGAGCUAGAGUGUGUCAGAGGGAGGUGGAAUUCCGCGUGUAGCAGUGAAAUGCGUAGAUAUGCGGAGGAACACCGAUGGCGAAGGCAGCCUCCUGGGAUA